GAAGUUCGCCAGGCAGUCGCUGCGCAUGGUUUCAUGCGUGGAGGAAAGUCCGGGCCCCGCAGAGCAGGAUGCCGGCUAACGGCCGGGCGUCGUGAGGCGACGGAAAGUGCAACAGAGAGCAGACCGCCGAUGGCCUCGAAAGAGGAUCAGGCAAGGGUGAAACGGUGGGGUAAGAGCCCACCGCAGGACCGGUAACGGGACUGGCACGGCAAACCCCAUCCGGGGCAAGGCCAAAUAGGGGAGCAAUGGCGUGGCUCGCGUCGCUCCCGGGUAGGCUGCUAGAGCGCCGCGGUAACGCGUCGCCCAGAGGAAUGACUGCCCGGCGGUCCGGUUUCGGCUGGAUCGCUCGACAGAACCCGGCUUACAGGCGAACUUCCACU
rnacentral:RNase_P_RNA from 1 species